CGCCUACGGGACGCAGCAGUGAGGAAUAUUGGUCAAUGGGCGAGAGCCUGAACCAGCCAAGUCGCGUGAGGGAGUACUGCCCUAUGGGUUGUAAACCUCUUUUGUCGGGGAGCAAAAGACGCCACGUGUGGCGUUCCGAGAGUACCCGAAGAAAAAGCAUCGGCUAACUCCGUGCCAGCAGCCGCGGUAAUACGGAGGAUGCGAGCGUUAUCCGGAUUUAUUGGGUUUAAAGGGUGCGCAGGCGGAAGAUCCAGUCAGCGGUAAAAUUGAGAGGCUCAACCUCUUCGAGCCG
rnacentral:rRNA from 1 species